rnacentral:piRNA from 1 species
UUUGUCUUGGUCCAGAACAAAGA